ACGAACGCUGGCGGCGUGCCUAAUACAUGCAAGUAGAACGCUGAAGAGAGGAGCUUGCUCUUCUUGGAUGAGUUGCGAACGGGUGAGUAACGCGUAGGUAACCUGCCUUGUAGCGGGGGAUAACUAUUGGAAACGAUAGCUAAUACCGCAUAACAAUGGAUGACACAUGUCAUUUAUUUGAAAGGGGCAAUUGCUCCACUACAAGAUGGACCUGCGUUGUAUUAGCUAGUAGGUGAGGUAACGGCUCACCUAGGCGACGAUACAUAGCCGACCUGAGAGGGUGAUCGGCCACACUGGGACUGAGACACGGCCCAGACUCCUACGGGAGGCAGCAGUAGGGAAUCUUCGGCAAUGGGGGCAACCCUGACCGAGCAACGCCGCGUGAGUGAAGAAGGUUUUCGGAUCGUAAAGCUCUGUUGUAAGUCAAGAACGAGUGUGAGAGUGGAAAGUUCACACUGUGACGGUAGCUUACCAGAAAGGGACGGCUAACUACGUGCCAGCAGCCGCGGUAAUACGUAGGUCCCGAGCGUUGUCCGGAUUUAUUGGGCGUAAAGCGAGCGCAGGCGGUUUGAUAAGUCUGAAGUUAAAGGCUGUGGCUCAACCAUAGUUCGCUUUGGAAACUGUCAAACUUGAGUGCAGAAGGGGAGAGUGGAAUUCCAUGUGUAGCGGUGAAAUGCGUAGAUAUAUGGAGGAACACCGGUGGCGAAAGCGGCUCUCUGGUCUGUAACUGACGCUGAGGCUCGAAGGCGUGGGGAGCGAACAGGAUUAGAUACCCUGGUAGUCCACGCCGUAAACGAUGAGUGCUAGGUGUUGGAUCCUUUCCGGGAUUCAGUGCCGCAGCUAACGCAUUAAGCACUCCGCCUGGGGAGUACGACCGCAAGGUUGAAACUCAAAGGAAUUGACGGGGGCCCGCACAAGCGGUGGAGCAUGUGGUUUAAUUCGAAGCAACGCGAAGAACCUUACCAGGUCUUGACAUCCCGAUGCUAUUUCUAGAGAUAGAAAGUUACUUCGGUACAUCGGUGACAGGUGGUGCAUGGUUGUCGUCAGCUCGUGUCGUGAGAUGUUGGGUUAAGUCCCGCAACGAGCGCAACCCCUAUUGUUAGUUGCCAUCAUUCAGUUGGGCACUCUAGCGAGACUGCCGGUAAUAAACCGGAGGAAGGUGGGGAUGACGUCAAAUCAUCAUGCCCCUUAUGACCUGGGCUACACACGUGCUACAAUGGUUGGUACAACGAGUUGCGAGUCGGUGACGGCAAGCUAAUCUCUUAAAGCCAAUCUCAGUUCGGAUUGUAGGCUGCAACUCGCCUACAUGAAGUCGGAAUCGCUAGUAAUCGCGGAUCAGCACGCCGCGGUGAAUACGUUCCCGGGCCUUGUACACACCGCCCGUCACACCACGAGAGUUUGUAACACCCGAAGUCGGUGAGGUAACCUUUUGGAGCCAGCCGCCUAAGGUGGGAUAGAUGAUUGGGGUG
rnacentral:rRNA from 1 species